rnacentral:rRNA from 1 species
UACAGAGGGUGCAAGCGUUGUUCGGAAUUAUUGGGCGUAAAGCGCGUGUAGGCGGCUUUGCAAGUCGGGUGUGAAAGCCCUCGGCUCAACCGAAGAAGUGCGCCCGAAACUGCAGAGCUUGAGUACCGGAGAGGGUGGCGGAAUUCCCCAAGUAGAGGUGAAAUUCGUAGAUAUGGGGAGGAACACCGGUGGCGAAGGCGGCCACCUGGACGGAUACCGACGCUGAGACGCGAAAGCGUGGGGAGCAAACAGG